UCGUCGUCUAGCCAGAGGCGGCGGUUGGUCUGGAAGCGUACGGGCUAGGUCGGGAUGCGGGGGAGGCGCCGGCUAGGUAGGGACACGGCGCCGGCUAGGUACGGGAUACGGCGGUGGCUACGGAGGAGGAGGUGGAAGUAAGGGUUCGCUGCCGCGGGUGUCAGCGCCAGAAGAGGGGGUCGGUGGCACCGACGUCUAGGUGAGUGCCGGCCAGCAGAUUCGACGUUCGUACCUACCUACCUAGAUCCUUCCAUAGGAAGGAGGGACCCACCUCGCUCGACGUGUAGGGUAAGCCGGGAGACAUCAGCCGGUAGAGGCGGAGGAGGAGCGGCAGCGGCGGCGGCCCCUAGCGCAGAAGUGGUUCGUGCUCGAGGCGGGGUAGGCUGGCUGGCGUUUCCCUAACAGGUAACAUUUAAAAGUUCCUCUAAGUUUACAAGGAGAAGACCUACUAACUUCCCUAUGAACUUCGAUCCCGUUAGGUUCAUUCUAUCGAAGUAGGAGUCCGUUGUCCAAAUACAAUAGAAUAGUACCUCAGUAAAAAUUCAAACACGGGUUGCGGAAGUAGGAAUCUUACCGACGGGUCUACCGUUCGGUGGCAUAAGUCCGCUAACGGCGCGAUCCCACGAGGUUGAAAACUACGACCGCUUCGAAAACCUUACUACCGAUGUAUUAAACAAUCAGAGGCAACCUUCGAAUUAAUUUGACUCCAAGUCUACACACCGUUUCCUAAAGUUAAAAGGACAAAUGUGUUUCCUUUGAACUCCUUCCAAGUCUAAAGAGUACGAGCCACGACACGAGAGUUCCAAUGUAUCUGUUUUUACGGAGGAUAAAUGUGUUACCGUUGGGCUACUUCCUACUGCCCCGCCCAGCCCUCCGCCCCUUUCGGCAGGUACCGCUAGGACCACCGCAACGAUUACCGCAGUCACCGUGACCGCGAGGAGUAGCACGGGCUGUGCGAGAGAUACGGUCCGAGAUUGCCGCACCUAGCGCCGCGGCGGGACAGCGAGGGUGCGGGCACGAAGUCGUCUAGGACAAACUCAGCACGUAUUGAAAUCGGCGGAGGGGAGGUUACAGGUGCUGAGACUAUAUGGCACAAACAAUCAGAACUGACCACAAACAAGAGGCAUAACAACACGUCCUCCGACCUCUUGUCGUCCCUCUUGUCCCUCAGCACCUACCUCUGAACAGGAUGUACCGGCUCGUUCUAGCUCCGAUCGGCGGCCAUUACAAGAAGAGGGCACGUUCAAGGCGUGACGUAACUUCGUAGGUUGUGUACUACAUCGAUGCAAUGUCCACCCUGUAGUCGGUACAUACAAAGCUCCACUAUGUAGGUAGUUCAAACAAACCUCGUUUAUUCCCGGAAUCUUCUUUUAUUUUUUUUUAACACGUCAGGUCGAGGACGCACGACCAGUGGCUCGAGGUGACACAGGUCGAGUAGGCUGGUACACGAGGUGACGUAGAUCCAGUCGGCUAGAACACCGUCUCGAUGUGACUGCGUUCUCGUUUAUCAAAAUGUUAAAGAAACAACAAGGAAACAUGACCUAUUGACACGUAAAAAUCUCCACACUUCUACAUUACGUUAUUGUCAUUGACCCGCAUACGUGUAGGCAGAGCUAUUCGUAAUACCUUUGCCUGUUUCCGUUCCGUAAGGUUACAUUCUUUACCUACUUCCGUUCCAUACAGUAAGAUUUUUUUCCGUUCCGUAUGGUCCUACGACGUAACGAAUUACAGGUCAAGAGAUGCGAAAGGGAUGUCGUUGGAAAAAAUCUAGAAUACUCAACACAAAAGGAUUGUUUUUUUACAGGUAUACCUAAGUGACUUUGUUCUAAUAUAAUAGUCGUUAAAACAAACGUACAUUAAUUAAUCACUAUCGGAUACGGAGUGUGCUGAUAAAAAAAGUCAAGUCAACAUAGGAAGUUAUACCCACGUUACUUCACACCUAUCUGUUUGUGUAAAGAAAAUGACACUAUAGUAACUGGAACAACUAAAUAUAAAAGUUUUGACUAUCCUUACUUUAGGUAUACUUAGAACACUACGGUUUCGAGAUUCACGACUACUAAAUUUAAGGAUAAUUUUUUAGGAAUUUAUCUUUCACCUGGAAUAUCGCCUCUUAUUACACAUUCGAUGUCCACCUCAGGCAGAGUUCCCUUCACUUUGGCUUUUGUAUCUGGUGUAAUCUCAGCUUCUAUUCCACUUACGUUAGUGUCUAGGUGUACUCUCAGUCUAUUCUAACCACUUACGUUAGUCUUGACAGUUUACACACAAAAGGUUGAAAAGUACGACGUACUAGAGACGGGUGAAAUGAUCUUCUUCUCGGAAGGAUGUCCCACUUCCACCUAUUCCUCGGUAAGUUGAAUCUCCUUCACAGAGUUAUUUACACACACAAUGGUUCCAACUUAACAGAUGAGCGAGAGAACCUCCAAUACAAGGAAGGGUAGAUAAUUCGACAAUCAUAGGAAUAGUGGCACAGACCGAGGUAACUUUUCGAGUGUGGUGGUACGAACUUCUUGUAUUUACCACCAUGUAAUAAGACUAUAUAAAAUACACGGCGGUAACACCAUCUCGGGCCGUACUUCCCACCCAGGUCAUAUAUUCGUCCACCAUGAUCGUGAUUCUAUCCUUCCAGUAAAGGCGGGAACAGGAAACAACUACCGGACGGUUCCGCCGCAGCUAAUGACCAAGUUAAACUUGUGCUCAAUCACCUAAAAUAAUAUUUUCACUCCAAAUUCUCACCCACUACCAAUAAACC
rnacentral:rRNA from 1 species